ACAUCCUCCUGUGUGGGAGCCUCUGAGCCUUUGGAUCCCUUUGGCUCAAAACCUGGGGCCGCCUUUGUUACCUGUUCUGGAGGAUAACUCCUUCAAGGACUGAGGGAGAAACUGGUGGGGCAUGUAGAAGGGUCUGGACAUAGGCCUGGGGGUGCUGGAAUGGCUGAAGCUGGGGGGCAUACAUAGGAGUUCUGCAACAGAGGCCCAGGAGAGACUGUGGGGUAAGCUAGGGCUGUGGGCAGGCCGAGAGGACCAAGAUAGACCGUGGAUGUGGGGACAAGCCUUCCUCCCUGCCUGGCACAGGCUGGCAUCUGGUUCUACCUUAGCUUCCUGGAGGGAACCCACAUGUCGGUGUCCCCCGCAGGGUGUCCCACUGUAUGGCAUGGAGACCUGUGGCUGUGAGGCUCCUGGGGGCUCGCCUUGGACCGCGAUGGGGCCGGGCUGCGGCCUCCUAACGGGACUGAGGUGUGCAGCCCGCGAGCUGCCGCUGCCCGCAUCUCGGAGCACCCCCGCCCCCCCCCUGGCCCGGCGCGGGCCCGGCGCCCGCCAUGAACGGCCUGUCGGUGAGCGAGCUCUGCUGCCUGUUCUGCUGCCCACCCUGCCCGGGCCGCAUCGCGGCCAAGCUCGCCUUCCUGCCUCCCGAGCCCACCUACUCUCUGGUACCUGAACCCGAGCCGGGGCCCGGCGGGGCCGGCGCUGCCCCCUCGGGUCCCCUGCGGACCUCAGCGGCCACCCCCGGGCGCUGGAAGAUCCACCUGACGGAGCGCGCUGACUUCCAGUAUGGCCAGCGCGAGCUGGACACCAUUGAGGUCUUCGUGACCAAGAGCGCGCGCGCCAACC
rnacentral:lncRNA from 1 species